CACACUGGGAUGAUGGGUGUGGUUUUUCGAAGACAAACUUCUGAAUGAUUUGUGUGCAUGCGUCCCAGUUCCUGAGUCGUUCUAGAGGAGGAGCAUGAUGCAGAGUAGCGCUUAGGGCCCGGCCUGCGCUCACAGUGGAGUAAAGAACAUAAGGCUCUGUGCCUUGAGGCUCCACCGGCUGGAUAUGGAACUUCUCAGGGAAGCGGGGACCAAAACUGAAGCUCGUCCAGAGCCUCAGAGAAUGCUGUUAUCUGUUCCAUGUCAUUAGAGAGCAUCUGGAGAAAAUAUCUGGAGAGCUACUUAUUGGGAGUGGACUUUGAAGAAACAAGACGUUAUGUGCCAUUCGGGAAAGUAAGACUGUUGCAAUGCUUUCUGUGUACUGUGCAAUAUUAAAACCCUUUGGUCCAGACAGAAGAAUAUGUCUUUGCUUUGCUUUGCUUUAGUGUAUUUCAAAGGACGGGGGAGAAAAAAAAAAUACAGCAACCAUUAGCAUUUGCUGGAGACUGGAGCGUCCUUCUGGCUUAUUAAAGGAGAACUGAAGUCAUUUUUAAACUUGCUUUAUUUCUUAAUUAACGUGUUAUUCAAUUACGUUUGGGGUUUUAGUAACCUUAUAUCGUGGCUCGUAUUGGCAACUAAUUGCAAUUAAAUAUUAUACUUAUCGGCUUAUUUGGUUUUUAGCCAUGUUGAAUUUAGUUUGUUUGGUCCAUUGCAGGCGUCGCUUAUCCACGCGAUCUUCACCAGACUUGUGCGAGACUUCGAAGCGUCAAGUGUCAGCCAGGUGUCAGUGCCGCUAUUUUGAAAACUGUUUUCCAAACGAAGUAUUGCACAAAAAUGAGUUUAAAUGACGAUUACCGCCUACUUUUUUCAAGCUUUCCUGAUUGCUGUCAAAACAAACAAAACUUCCAGCUUGAUUACAUCAGCAUUCGAAAGAGAGAGAGCGCACGCGUCUUUUGACUAUCCCAUGUCUGAAAUCGUGCCCUACUCACUAUAUAGGGCACUAUAUAGUGAGGACGCCAUUUUGUAGUGCUGUCCGGAACCUUAGUGACGAUUAUUUACACCCUACAUAGUGCACUCAAAGUAUCCCACAAUGCAUCACGAAAAGUAGUCUCCAACGAUGGUCACUAACCAAAGUGAUAGAUCCCAUCAUGCAUUGCGGUCGCGCUGAAAGAAAUCAAAUUAAAAGUCUCAGAUUUGAUUGAAUAAAAGGCAGCGGCAAAGAAGAAAGUAUUCAGCCUUGAUUUUAAAAGAACUGAAAGAUGCAGGGACUUUGUAUUGAUUAAGGUAGGAAAUACACUCAGUAUAAUAUGGAUUUAUCACAAAAAUACAUGCGUGUGUUUAUUUUGAAAACCCACCAGCCGACUGAUCUGGCACGUUUUAAUUGUGUGACAGUAAUGACGUAAAUACCAGCGUGAUGGAGUAGUGUCCAAAAGCGUUUUUUUAUUUUACCAAUGAGCUCACUAUAGUCCUCUAUAUAGUAAUUCCCUCUAUAGGGAGUAGUGAAUGAGUGAAUGAGUGAGUGAUUUCGGACACAGGGUUGGUCACUUUCAUUUCUGCUGUAUGUUUUACUUCCGUCCUACGAUGUCUCGCACAGGUCUCAACGAAUCUCGUUUAUGGCCAUUGCUUUGACAUAUGGACUGAUAUAUUCCAUAGCACAUUUCAAACACUCAGAACUUGCUCUAGCAGUGACAAAAUAGCUAUCAAAAAUGCAUUCCUAUAUUUAAUAAAAUUGCAUAGAAUAUUGAUAUAAAAAAAUUUGCCUUCAGUUCUCUUUUAAUAUGCCCCAUAACACAAUUCUACACUGGUUAUGGCCACGUUGAUGAGAGAUGACUCCAUCUAAACGUCUCCACAUGCACAGGGCAAUGGUGAAUGGCGUCACUUCAGUCAUGUUGUCUGAUCAGUGUUCUGAACUACUCCAUGUUGAAAUUUUGGGAACACAUCUGACUGGAUUGUGAGUCCUAUUAUUUCACCGUUGUCAUGUCCGUGUCCAUACUUAUCUGAAUGUAAGGUUCGGUGACAGUCAUGUUCACAUGAGUGACGUACGUUUCCAAAGCUGUUCAUAAUUCGUGAUGUGAAAGGACUUCUCUUGUCACCGCUGAAGUGAACGUCGAGUAUGCUGACACGCAUACACACACCUCCCCAUGCUGUCAGAAGGUCACGCAAACACAGGACACUGAGGCUCUAUUGAGCAUGUGUUUUCUCAGGUGAGCCUCGGCAAAUGGGUCCUAUGAGUAAAAUGUGAAAGAUGAGACUGUAUGAUAUGCAUUGGUAUGGUUUGUGUGUGUGUGUGUGUGUGUGUGUGUGUGUGUGUGUGUGUGUGUGUGUGUGUGUAAUUAAUGGGUGAUGACUGACCAAGCCUAGAGUGUGAACAACUGCAGCCAAGUCUUUUUUCCUCUUGCUCUCUCCUCACUGGGGCAGCUGGAGGGAUUCCUGGCAGAGUGAUUUGGGACUAAAUCAGAAAAUCACAUUGCCAGGGAUUUCCAACCAGCUGCAGGCCACUCGCUUCGACGAGUAUAGGCUCCAAAUGUCCUCUGACAUGUCCUCUGCUGUAUUUGCCUUUACCCUGCAUCUCAUUUUCUACACACAGCAGCUGGCCCUGGUUUCAGUCAUCUCCCAAAGGCAAAUCUCAGAGGCUGUAAAGAUGGCCCGUCUGCUACGGAGGCGAACUUUUGAAUAUACAGUAAAUAUAGGCUCCAAACAGAGCACGAAAUGUCUUUCAUAAACGCAUUUCAGAGUAUAAACAUCCAGUCUCCAACUGAUGACUGUGGUUUUAUGAAUUGGAAAGGGAUACAGGACUUUGGUGCCAUGCAGACGUAUGUGGGAUCUCGGUAUAAAAAAGACUGUGGCUUCUAUACUCAAGACUCGAGGUGGUCUUUGAAAUCUACAUGUGGAAAGAAUUGGCAUUACUAUCGCCAUCAUAAUUUGAUGCAUAAGUGUAUGCUGGGGAAAGAAAAAAAAUGUGAUAACGAGUUCAUUAGGCACGUGGAUAUGAGGCAAAGAAAAACAGAAACUUUGCAGCGCUCGUGCUGAAUAGGAUAUUUUAUUGGUCUUGUAAAAAAAAUUUACUACAACGCACUUUUUUUUUUACCAUCUCGUUUCAUCAUAGAUUGAUUGGUUUAUAUUUUCCCCCGAUGACCUCCAUUGUGGAAGAAUUAUCCCAGGAAGCGCUUCCAAUCAUCGUUAAAAUGUAAUAACGUGUAUGCAAGUGGAAACGAGCUGAAAUGACCGCUCUCCUCAUUCAGACUCUGCCAGUAACCAUAACGACAUCUAUGAUCUUUGGGUUAUGGUGUGGUAGAAGGCAGAAAAACAAGAACGACAGCUUGAAAAAGAAGAUCUUGGACAAGCAUGUGAACUCACAAGAAGAACGCUUGGCUCCGAUAAGAUGGCAUUUGAAUGCUAAGCAUCACUCUGCGAUGUUUCGUGAGGUGCAGGACUUGGCUUGCUUUGUGAACAGAUCUGGGAAAAGGCCGUGUUCACAGUGGCUAAGUUCCGCUCCUCUGAGGCUAAUUCUCAGAAUGGCUGGAAGGCAGUAAUCCAGGCACCAUGUGUAAAGACUCAAAGAGUAAACAGCACUGACCUACGGUAAGCUUUUCCUGUCAUAUUUGAAUCACAAUUUCUAUACAAAUGAAAAAGAAACUGAUCCUCAAUCAGUACUGUGUCAUUGUGACAAUUUGUAAACAAAGUUCAUAUCUAUAGGAACAUGCACAUGCUGAAUAAUACAGUUUAUUCUAUCCAUAUUCACUGGAUAUGAGCAAUCGCACACUCUGAUUGGCUACUCUACUACUAGGAUAUCAGCUCAUAUACCGUGAGUAGAGAAAAACAAAAUGGCGGUGCGUGUUGCUGAAACAACCGAGGACGAAAUAAAAACUCUACUCGAAAACAAAACUAAAAAAAAUACAAAAAAAAGCAACAAAAUAUGGAAUGAAAGUAUUUGAUGGUGAGAACAUAUUUAUUUAAAAAAAAAUCAAGAAUUAUUAUUAUUAUUAGAGCAUUUUUCACAAAUUGCUACAGUCAUUUCGCCAGUUUGUUUACAUUCUAAGCGGAAAUUAUUGUGUCGGGCGUUUUGUAUAAAGUUUUAUUUAUCGCAUUUGCAAAAAAUAAAAAUAAAAACGCUCUGUUUCUCACAAUCCAGUGAAUUUGGAUAUCAUAAAACAGUUAUUCCACUCAAUCUCGUCGUACAUCGCUUAUAGCCGACUCGGCGCGUAUCAGCUCAUGUAUGACUCAAUUUCGUGGAAUAACUGUUACAUAUCGCAACUAUAUAGGCUAAGACAUGUUUCUCAAGUGCAAACAGGCAAAUAAAUCAUCGUUUAAGCACAGUAUAGCUUGAACACUUUCAUGUCUAAGACCGGGUCUGUGUUUACAAAAGCAAAAAUGAACUGAGCUACACAAAAAGCCACAUCAAGAACCAUUUCAAACAAGUCAUACACCCACAAUAUAGGUUUUGAUCGGGACAUCUGGAUGGAAAAGGCUAUACGUGUCAUAAUUCACUGACGAGUAGACAAGUCUUUACAAAAUCAUGAAAAAGGAUUGUUCAAAGAAACAGGAUGACUUUUAGCCGUUAAGAACCACUCCAUUCACAGUAAUAAUGUAUAAGGGACCAUAAUGAAAAGAGCUGUCAUAGAUCCGACGGCUUACACGAUGAGAAACGAGAACCACGUCAAAUACCGUACAUGAUACACCGACGGAAAAUUUCAGCUUGACAAGGAAAUUUAAGACAGCGACAAAUCCGGGACAGUGUGAAGUGAUCCAUUCACCGGCCACUUUAUUAGGAACACCCAUGCAUCCUCCUGCUGGUUGAUGCAGUUGUCUAAUCAGCCGAUCCCUUGCCAGCGGCACGAUGCAUAAAAUCACGCGGAUGCAAAUCAAGAGCUUCAGUUAAUGUUCACAGUGUUCCAACAUCAGAAUGGGGAAAAAUUGUGAUCAAGUCAAGUCAAGUUUAUUUCUAUAGCGCUUUUAACAACAGACAUUGUCGCAAAGCAGCUUUACAGAAUAUUAAUGACUUUAAACAUGAGCUAAUUUGAUCCCUAAUCUAUCCCUAAUGAGCAAGCCUGUGGCGACGGUGGCAAGGAAAAACUCCCUCAGACGACAUGAGGAAGAAACCUCAAGAGGAACCAGACCCAAAGGGAACCCAUCCUCAUUUGGGCCACAACAGACAUUAAUAAUAACAUUAACAUUAACAGUUUUAAUCAAAGUGAUCUCAAAGUGUGACUUUCUUUCACUGUGGUGGCAUGGGUGUUAGUUUGAGCCAGAUGGACUGGUUUGAGUGAGUAUUUCUGAAACUGCUGAUCUCCUGGGGUUUUCACACACAACAGUUUCAACGACAGAGUUUACACAGAAUGGUGCGAAAAACAAAAAACACAGAGUGAGUGAGCCACAGUUCUGCGGGUGGAAACAAGCGCCUUGUUGAUAAGAGAGUGCAGAGGAAAAUGGCCAGAUUGGUUCAAGCUGCCAGGAAGUUCCUCAUAGCAACUCUUUACAACCGUGCUGAGCAGAAAAGCAUCUCAGCAUGCAACAUUGGGUUCCACUCCUGCAGCCAAGAACAGGGAUCUUAGAAUCAAGAACAAGUUCCUAUUAAAGUGGCCGGCUGGUGAGUGUAUAUUUUGGGAAUUUGUGACUUGUGAUGAGACUUUGACAAUUUGAAAAAGAUUAUGUUGGAUUUUUUUCCAUAUGGACGAGCUGAUAGAAGGUUGAUUCUGACAACUCAGUGGCAGGAAAAAGGAGGACUGGGCUCAUCCUCCUGUGCCUACUGAGCUGAUAACAGUUGGUAAAGCACGCACUGGCUCAGUUCAGCAGGAACCGGAGUUCGGCCCCUUACUGCACCAAGCUGAUGCCAGAUCCCAGCAUCCUCCUCUACACACUUCAGUCAGCUAUCCGGGGCAUAAGAGCAACAGAGGAAGGGCUGCUGUUUGGGCUUUAAGCAGAUUCCAGAAGCAGAGUUUUUCCAGGCCAAGUCAUUUUCAAACAUAUGUUUUCAUUCAACAAAUAAACUGUCAAAUUUGUUCAUCUCA